rnacentral:lncRNA from 1 species
GCAGACGAGGUCAUUUCAUUGCCUAUUUCCCCAACUCAUAACUGGCGAUCUUAUUCACUGCCUUAGACACCAAUGCGUUCUCUACAACCCUAGUUUUCAAUGGUACUGGCUUGAUUCUACCUCACUCCAAAUUUUUGCUUUACCUUAACCAGCUCGAUCUUCACCAUUCUAACUUUAUGGAUAAACCAUCUGAGUGGUCACCCUACCGUCGAGGUAGCUUCGUACUAUGCCAUCUAGCCCUAGCUAACUAUUCAUCUUACUCUGAUUCUUUAAAUGACUCAUAAUACAGAUGGAUCCCUAUUAAACCAAACUCUUAUUGUUGGUUUUCGAUAAAUUUUCCAUCCAAU